rnacentral:rRNA from 1 species
UACAGGGGGUGCAAACGUUGCCCGGAAUUAUUGGGCGUAAAGCGCACGUAGGCGGUUUGUUAUGUCGGAUGUGAAAGCCCUUGGCUCAACUGAGGAAGUGCAUCCGAAACUGGCAAGCUAGAGUAUGUAAGAGGGUCGCGGAGUUCCCGGUGUAGAGGUGAAAUUCGUAGAUAUCGGGAGGAACACCGGUGGCGAAGGCGGCGACCUGGGACAAUACUGACGCUGAGGUGCGAAAGCGUGGGGAGCAAACAGG